rnacentral:misc_RNA from 1 species
GAUGAAGAACGUAGCGAAAUGCGAUAAGUAGUGUGAAUUGCAGAAUUCCGUGAAUUAUCGAAUCUUUGAACGCACAUUGCGCCUUCUGGUAUUCCGGAAGGCAUGCCUGUUCGAGAGUCAUUAACAACCGUUUCGAUCCCUUUCUUUCAGAAAUUACAAAGAGGAAAAGGGUUUGGUUAUGGUGGAGGAGGGAAAGGGAGCGUUUAGCCUGUAAAAAAAGAGGCUGUGUUCCGCCUCCCCCCCAAAAUUGUACAGGCGGUCGUGUGCGCCCACGCAUCGAGGUGUUGUAAAAGCUGCCACGGCACUUUUCACCUGUGCAGUGCGAGAUUGGCCAGCCGGUUUAAAAACCCCUCCAAACAAUCAAAGGUUGACCUCGGAUCAGGUAGGGAUACCCGCUGAACUUAAGCAUAUCAAUAAGCGGAGGA